rnacentral:rRNA from 1 species
GGUGGAGUUGGAGUGGCAGCGGGGGUGAUAAGGAGGGGGAGCGAGUUGGUAGGAAGCGCUGAGGGUAAGGCGCACGUAGGCGGGUCGGUGAGUCGAGGGUUAACUCCUGGCGUUCGAAUCCAGAACGGCCUUCUGUACUGGCGUCCUUGAGUCAGGGAUAGUGGAGUGGAACUGAGAGUCUAGAGGUGAAAUUCGUAGAUAUUCGCAAGAACACCAGUUGCGAAGGCGGCUCACUGGCCCGGUACUGACGCUGAGGUGCGAAAGCGUGGGGAGCAAACAGGAUUAGAUACCCUUGUAGUC